rnacentral:tRNA from 1 species
AGCUCGUCGGGCUCAUAACCCGAAGGUCACAGGUUCGAGUCCUGUCCCCGCUACCA